UGUUUUCUUAAGAAGAAAACAAGAAGAACAUGACCAAAAUAAAAGUGGGUGGAACUGUUGAAUAUUUAAGUUUUAGAUGUCAACAAACUAAUUGUUGCCGUCGAUACUCAAGCUAAAACUGCAGUGGAGGAAUAUCCGGAAAGUGAUUACUACUUGAAACAUCAUCAGAUUUUCGCAUCGACGACCUGUACAGGAAGAGACGGAAGUGAAUCAACGCAGAAUACGACAGGUGAGUUUAAGUAUCGUUAUUUUUAAAUCGAGAAUGGUUACUGUGUGUGCUUGUGUUUUUUUUUGUUUUCUUAGGUGCCAGGUUUCAAGUCAGCAGCGGAGAAGACACCGAUCGACUUCCCAGUAGUAUCAGCCAACUCAUAAGAGCUCGUCCCGAGUCUGGCUAUAACCGUACAAGGGAGAUAACAUGGCCCUAGUUUGGCAUUAUAUUUGUCGAUUGCUGAAGAUUGGCGAAAAUUCCUACGGAAGACUGACUGUCCAACUUUGUAUA